GCGAAAAAAGCGGAGCGGUUAACGUGCUGGCCUGCUAGUCCUUUCGGGGAAAGUUAGCCAGUUCCUUCGGGAGCGUGAGUUCGAAUCUCACAGGUGUCGCA
rnacentral:tRNA from 1 species